UGAAAUGGUUUGUGUAAACUUCUGGAUGCCCUUAUUUCUGCUUUUGUGUAAUUUCUUGUUGUCCCGGCCCUUCAUCUUUCAUUUAGUAUCCAAUGAGUUUAUUUAUGGGUAUGGGUAGGAUAUCAAUCCGAAAUGUGAGAGAGUAUGAAUAAUUGAAAGAGGCCGACUUAAAUUUAAUAGCUCAAGCUUUAUUCCUUUUGUAAUUUAUUUUAUUUUUAUAUAUGACGUAAUUUAUUUAAUAUAAAAUUAAACAUAUAAUAAUAUAAUAAUAUGUAAAUAUUAAAAAUAUAUAUAUUAAAUUUUAAUAAUAAAAAAAUUAUAUAAAAAAUAAACGAUUAAUCAUUUACAGAUACAAUCAAGCUUCAAUAAAAUUUUAAGUUCAUAUUUCGAAUCGAACAAACUUUAGGCAAACAUAAAAUAUAUUGUUUCAAACUAAGAAAGGAUUUUGAAAUUGAUUUCAGCAGCUGAAUUGACAAAGCAGGAUCAUUAGAGUGAAUGCAAUGGAUACAACUAUUGAGCAAGGUAUAUUUCAACAUUAUCUUCUAGUAGUCUCUUAACAUGAAAUAGUAGAAAACCAAUAAUAAUAAGUUCAUCAUCAAUACUAGAACAGGAUCGAACUAACCCAUUAGCUAUCAUAGUUUCUUCUGGAAUUUGACUGCAUACAUUGCCAUAGCUGUUGAGCCGAGUUACUUCUAGACCAUGAAAAUGUGAAUAACAGUGUGAUUUGAAGUGCCUAAAAUUGAGAUUUGAUGAGAUUCAGGGCCGUAAAGUAUCCCAUUAUAUGUGGGUGAGAGAUUAGGUGGUGAAGGGUUAUAAUCAAAGCGCUGAAAUAGGGGCCCAUUUUGAUUGUGAUCUGCGGAAGAGAUUUUAAUUAUGAUUCUGACAAAUCAAUGCUGCAAGCUGGAUUUUGCCCAAAGUACCCCCAAACCCCAUGUGCUGUGGUCUUUGUAGGCCUUACCCAAACUUUAAUGAUUUUCAAUGAAUCCGGGAUUCCUUUUCAUUUCAA
rnacentral:lncRNA from 1 species